rnacentral:other from 1 species
ACAUGCCUGCGGUGUUGGUGAACUUCGAGUUUAAUUCGAACCGAACACCAAUUCACUUCGGGAGCCUUACAUUAAAACAUUAACAGCAUGCCUAAGUUCAUAUAGCUUGGGAAGUUGAAGAUGUUUUUGCGGGCACCCACCUGCCUAGGGCGGGUUCGUGAAAUCUGGAAGAUAACCGCACAUGCGGGCAACCG